rnacentral:rRNA from 1 species
AUACGUAGGGGGCAAGCGUUAUCCGGAAUUACUGGGCGUAAAGGGUGCGUAGGUGGCCUGACAAGUCAGGGGUCAAAGGCAACGGCUCAACCGUUGUAAGCCCUUGAAACUGUCGGGCUUGAGUUCAAGAGAGGAAAGCGGAAUUCCUAGUGUAGCGGUGAAAUGCGUAGAUAUUAGGAGGAACACCAGUGGCGAAGGCGGCUUUCUGGACUGAUACUGACACUGAGGCACGAAAGCGUGGGGAGCAAACAGGAUUAGAUACCCUGGUAGUCCACGCCGUAAACGAUGAGUACUAGGUGUCGGCCCUAAGGGUCGGUGCCGCAGUUAACACAUUAAGUACUCCGCCUGGGAAGUACGCUCGCAAGAGUGAAACUCAAAGGAAUUGACGGG